UACAGAGGUCUCAAGCGUUGUUCGGAUUCAUUGGGCGUAAAGGGUGCGUAGGUGGCGCCGUAAGUCAGGUGUGAAAUUUCGGAGCUUAACUCCGAAACUGCAUUUGAUACUGCGGUGCUUGAGGACUGGGAGAGGAGACUGGAAUUUACGGUGUAGCAGUGAAAUGCGUAGAGAUCGUAAGGAAGACCAGUGGCGAAGGCGGGUCUCGUGGACAGUUCCUGACACUGAGGCACGAAGGCCAGGGGAGCAAACGGG
rnacentral:rRNA from 1 species